UGGGGAAUAUUGGACAAUGGGCGCAAGCCUGAUCCAGCCAUGCCGCGUGAGUGACGAAGGUCUUCGGAUUGUAAAGCUCUUUUUACCAGGGACGAUAAUGACGGUACCUGGAGAAUAAGCCCCGGCUAACUUCGUGCCAGCAGCCGCGGUAAUACGAAGGGGGCUAGCGUUGUUCGGAAUUACUGGGCGUAAAGCGCACGUAGGCGGAUUUGUAAGUCAGGGGUGAAAUCCCGGGGCUCAACCUCGGAACUGCCUUUGAUACUGCGAAUCUCGAGUCCGAUAGAGGUGAGUGGAAUUCCUAGUGUAGAGGUGAAAUUCGUAGAUAUUAGGAAGAACACCAGUGGCGAAGGCGGCUCACUGGAUCGGUACUGACGCUGAGGUGCGAAAGCGUGGGGAGCAAACAGGAUUAGAUACCCACGUAGUCCCUGAGCGGGCUGGCAAGGCGCAU
rnacentral:rRNA from 1 species